rnacentral:rRNA from 1 species
UACGUAGAGGGCUAGCGUUAUCCGGAAUUACUGGGCGUAAAGGGUGCGUAGGUGGUUUCUUAAGUCAGAGGUGAAAGGCUACGGCUCAACCGUAGUAAGCCUUUGAAACUGGGAAACUUGAGUGCAGGAGAGGAGAGUGGAAUUCCUAGUGUAGCGGUGAAAUGCGUAGAUAUUAGGAGGAACACCAGUUGCGAAGGCGGCUCUCUGGACUGUAACUGACACUGAGGCACGAAAGCGUGGGGAGCAAACAGG